GCGAAGGUAGCUCUGCUACCGGACCUAGCGGCGGACGGGUGAGUAAUGCUUAGGAAUCUGCCUAUUAGUGGGGGACAACAUCUCGAAAGGGAUGCUAAUACCGCAUACGUCCUACGGGAGAAAGCAGGGGAUCUUCGGACCUUGCGCUAAUAGAUGAGCCUAAGUCGGAUUAGCUAGUUGGUGGGGUAAAGGCCUACCAAGGCGACGAUCUGUAGCGGGUCUGAGAGGAUGAUCCGCCACACUGGGACUGAGACACGGCCCAGACUCCUACGGGAGGCAGCAGUGGGGAAUAUUGGACAAUGGGGGGAACCCUGAUCCAGCCAUGCCGCGUGUGUGAAGAAGGCCUUAUGGUUGUAAAGCACUUUAAGCGAGGAGGAGGCUACUUUAGUUAAUACCUAGAGAUAGUGGACGUUACUCGCAGAAUAAGCACCGGCUAACUCUGUGCCAGCAGCCGCGGUAAUACAGAGGGUGCGAGCGUUAAUCGGAUUUACUGGGCGUAAAGCGUGCGUAGGCGGCUUAUUAAGUCGGAUGUGAAAUCCCCGAGCUUAACUUGGGAAUUGCAUUCGAUACUGGUGAGCUAGAGUAUGGGAGAGGAUGGUAGAAUUCCAGGUGUAGCGGUGAAAUGCGUAGAGAUCUGGAGGAAUACCGAUGGCGAAGGCAGCCAUCUGGCCUAAUACUGACGCUGAGGUACGAAAGCAUGGGGAGCAAACAGGAUUAGAUACCCUGGUAGUCCAUGCCGUAAACGAUGUCUACUAGCCGUUGGGGCCUUUGAGGCUUUAGUGGCGCAGCUAACGCGAUAAGUAGACC
rnacentral:rRNA from 1 species